CACUUAUAUUCAGUGAACUGAUACACCGAAAUUGGAAUGAUUCAGAGACAAUUAACAUGGCCUUGCAAAAGUAUGACAUGCAAAUUUCUUUAGCAUUUCAUAUUGAA
rnacentral:snRNA from 1 species